GACGAACGCUGGCGGCGUGCUUAACACAUGCAAGUGGAGCGACGAACCAGGCUUCGGCCUGGGGCAGAGCCGCGAACGGGUGAGUAACACGUGGGUAACGUGCCCCAAUGACUGGGACAACCCGAGGAAACUCGGGCUAAUACCGGAUAUGCCCCCUNACGAGAGUGAGGUGUGUAAAGGAAGCUUCGGCCUCCGCAUUGGGAUCGGCCCGCGGCGCAUUAGCUUGUUGGUGGGGAACGGCCUACCAAGGCAACGAUGCGUAGCUGGUCUGAGAGGACGAUCAGCCACACUGGGACUGAGACACGGCCCAGACUCCUACGGGAGGCAGCAGUGGGGAAUCUUGCGCAAUGCGCGAAAGCGUGACGCAGCAACG
rnacentral:rRNA from 1 species